GGAAGUGUUGCUCAGUAGUAGAGCACGUGCUUAGCACGUACAAGGCCCUGGGUUCAAUCCACAGCACCA
rnacentral:tRNA from 1 species